UACGGAGGGUGCGAGCGUUGUUCGGAUUCACUGGGCGUAAAGGGCGCGUAGGCGGCCUUCUAAGUCGAACGUGAAAUCCCCGGGCUCAACCCGGGAACUGCGUCCGAUACUGGAGGGCUUGAAUCCGGGAGAGGGAUGCGGAAUUCCAGGUGUAGCGGUGAAAUGCGUAGAUAUCUGGAGGAACACCGGUGGCGAAGGCGGCAUCCUGGACCGGCAUUGACGCUGAGGCGCGAAAGCCAGGGGAGCAAACGGG
rnacentral:rRNA from 1 species